GAGCUGAGCGAGCGCCGAGCCGCCUUACGCUCCCGCGGAGCCCAGCGAGCGCCGAGCCGCCUUGCGCGCCCCGCGGAGCCGAGCGAGCGCCGAGCCGCCGUACGCGCCCUCCGCUCGCCCGCUCACGCAGUUGAGCCGGCAGGAGAGUGGGACCCGAACAGAGCGGCACAGCUCCUCCGCUGCCCGGCGUCCCGGGGCCUGCCGCGGCGGGUUGGCGCUGGGCUUUCGCCUGCCGCAGCUCCCAUGCCCCCGCCCGUGAAUGAGGCGUUUGGGUCCCAUUCAUAAGCGCCGCUUCAUUCACGGAGCCGCCGCCCAGGGCGCGGAGCCGCUUCCCGUCGGCUUGCAGGCCCCACGGGCGGCUAACACGCCAGCCUGUCCCCGCCGGGGUGAGGAAGACUGGGCCCUUCUCCCCGCCGCCGGUUCACCGGCUGCCCUUCUCCGCCAGGUGUGGGCUCUGAGGCGGGGAGAUGAAGGCGCUGCUGAGUUGGUCGUUUCCAUACCGUCGGGCCCGCAAGUGGGCCGAAGCCUGGCGCUGCUUGUCAUCAGCAGGGAAUCAUUUGGUGCCCACGUCCCUCAGAAUGAGUGAGAGCUCUUUAGAGAGGACAUAAACACCACUUCAAGGCAGGCACUUGGCGGGAUCCUUGCAGGAAGCCAAAUGGGUUGCGGCACACGCCGAGCAUCCCACUGACAAGCCCUGCUGCCUGCGCUGCUCCCCGACAGCUUCACAUGCUGAUGCCUCUGGAGCACUGCUCCAAGUGGAGGGAAACGAUGGACCCAGAGAGAGAGGCAGGAUAAUCCCUCCUGCCUUUCCUAGCAUCGCUACAGGUUUCCAUCCUGUUCUUCCUCGUGUGAUGUCUGAAUUUACUUUGUUUUGGGGAUGCACCUGGGAAAAAAACCCUCCCUUUUAUGGCAGCAAGGAAUGUGCGUCGUCUUUUCAGUGAGGUAUGCAAGCCCUGAACACUGUGGUUCAGCCCUGUUUAAGAACGGGAAGGCUUACAAUGUACUGCGGUUCUUGGAUGCCCAAGGGAAAGAGAUUUCUUUGUUAUUGUUGGUCACAGAACUGCCAAAUGUUAUCUUGUAAAUCUGUGUCUUUCACAAUGGAUGAGGUGAGAAAUAACCUUUUUCAUUAGGGUUAUUCUCUUUGGCUUAGGUGGUAAUAUCCAUGGUGUUGAGGUAUAGCUGCAGUGCUCUCCUGGUUGUUUGAGCACCAAGGAGAGACAUUUCACACCGCACAAGUUGUGCACUGAACACAAAAUAUGAUCCCCACAGCUCUCCCAUAAAAAUAAGUACAGAGUGGGAAAACAAACAAUAUGAAUUAGACUCAUUUUUUUUUUUUCUCUUCUAGUAAAGGCUUCAGAUUGCUCAGAAAGAGUUUUCUUGGUGCUGAGAAAAUAGGUUGUAACUGAUGGGGCCUAUCCUCCAAAAGGGAACGAUGCUUUUGAAGUCGUUUCCUUGUAGGUGAGAAAUAAACAUCGUGGAUUGAUGGUUGGAAAACCAAAAAGUGAGCUUGCACCCUGAAAAUCUAGUGCAAAACUGGCACAGGCUUAAUGAGGAAGCAAGAUGCAAGCCAGUGGGUUUUAUCUGAGGUUAAUGUCCCAUUUUUCAGUGUUGUGAACUGCCAGGGCAGGGAGGAGGGGGGGAGUGUGUUUGUCUCUUUUCAAUGGGUAAUUUACAGGGUUAGGAAGAUUCUGCAAAACUCUGUUCAUUUUGAGGAGAAAUGAAGCAAAUGCAAAUGGGUCCCUGAGGUUUGGAGAGUUCUGUGUGCAACAUAAUAGAGCCAAACUUCUCCAUUCUGCUGCUCUUCCUUCAGAAAGGAAAAGCUCUCACUAAGUCUGUAGCAGGACUUUAAAGGACUGCAAUCGAAUAAACUUAAAGGCUCUUGGGGUUCUGUUUUGAGGUUUCUUUAACAGAGGAGACAAUUUUAUGACUACUCUGUGUGUGAAAUCACUAAAAAGCUUCACACACAUAAAUGUAGAGUGCUACCUGGACCCAGCUCAGAACCCAUCUGUGUCUUUAACACAGGAACAAGGCUCCCUCACCGUCCUUACAGAAUCUGCUAACCAAAGCUGCUGCCAGGUUGGUUCCCAACCAGCCUGGCCAGUUUCAGUGAGCCAUAUGAAGACUAUUUUGUUUUCUCCUUCUGUUUUAAUGCAAGCAGACGUGAGUCACUAGGUGAAUUGGCACACAGCAUUAGCUCUAGCAUGGCAUGUGGCAGAAUUACUGUGCUACUACCCUGUGGACUUGCUCCUGCACGGCAGCUCCAA